rnacentral:rRNA from 1 species
UACGGAGGGUGCAAGCGUUGUCCGGAAUCACUGGGCGUAAAGGGUGCGUAGGCGGGUCUUUAAGUCAGAGGUGAAAUCCUGGAGCUCAACUCCAGAACUGCCUUUGAUACUGAGGAUCUUGAGUUCGGGAGAGGUGAGUGGAACUGCGAGUGUAGAGGUGAAAUUCGUAGAUAUUCGCAAGAACACCAGUGGCGAAGGCGGCUCACUGGCCCGAUACUGACGCUGAGGCACGAAAGCGUGGGGAGCAAACAGG